CAUCCAUGGACAGCUUAUGAGCCCAGGCUUCUGUCAAACUAGGAGAGAGGAAAAUGAACAGGCACAAAAAUUCAUAAAAGCUGAAUUGUGCCUGGCACUGUGCAGCUGUGGUGCUGCCUUCAUCACUCCCUGCGUUUCCAAUCUUGCUAAUUAAAAGGUUGAUCACAGAACAA